GGAUGUAGCGUCUCACUCCUUGCCAGUAGGCGAUCAACAUGUGGGAUAGCCUCGCCUUCUCCGGCUCUCUCAUUGUCACCGCGCUGGUAGUGGUGAGUUGCGGGAUGCUCUACCUGUUCUUGGGACUGGCCCAGCUCACGUCGACGCUAGGUGAGUUGUUCAAACCUAGCCUCGAUCAACCGCCGAACGGGCUACAGCAGCUCAUCGAAGCCGUGAGCCACAUGCUUCUCAGCGGAGAGGUGCUGAUGCACUUGAACCAGUCCGCGUUCGCCGCUGCCGCCGUCCUAUUUUCGUUGGUGGUCCUGCUGAUCUUUGUUGAAGAGGCGCUGCUCCGGGUGAAGGAGAAGGUGCGUCAGUGGGGCCGGCUGCCGAGUCCGCAGGUGCUGCAUUACUACAAUCAGAAUAGCUACGACACGGCACUAGCGCAGGCUGGACGCGGACUCUCUCUCAAGAAAGCCAUGUAGGUGAGGAGGCUAACAACCGAAAGGACGGACGGGCCGACACCCUGGCGUGGCUGCUGCAGUGCACAUGGCGGCAUGUUUGCCGGAAUGCAUUUGACGUUGUCUGCGGAAGCGUUGCCGACUCUUCAGCGUCCGUGUGUACACCACAAAGGCAUGAUAUUCUUGGAAUCACAGAAAAAAGGUGUGUGUUGGAAGCUGGAUUGCACGUACGCAUGUGCCUCACCUCCCCAGAGACCGGACGACAUAGCGCGUCUUCGUGGCCGCCGUUAGGCGAGGCGGACAUGUCAAACGGAAAAGCGACUCCUUUACUUGCCUCUGCCGUCAAGUCAACGACUUCCUUACCCGCUCUCCCUCUGCGGAGGGAAGGUAGGUGUAAGCAGCCGCAUUCAUGCUCUUGACCGUCCUCACGCUCCCUCACCCGAGCGGCCCAGUGCAGGGCGGUGCAUCUCACCGUCUGUGAGAAUGUGCAGAGAAGCUCGUCCUUUGUCUUCUCAAGUCUGUGUGUGUGCGUGCAUGUGUGUAGAAUUCUUCCUGGUCGCUCCUCUUCUCUGCCUCUCUCUCCUCCCUCUCCAUGGCGGCCCACGUGAAAUCAUGCCCGCCCGAGUUGCGCUUCUUUUUAAUUCUUUGGAAG
rnacentral:misc_RNA from 1 species